UACGAAGGAUCCAAGCGUUGUCCGGAUUUACUGGGCUUAAAGGGUGCGUAGGCGGCCUUUUAAGUCAGUGGUGAAAGCCUGUAGCUUAACUAUAGAAUUGCCAUUGAAACUGAAAGUCUCGAGUGUGGUUGAGGUAACUGGAAUAUAUCAUGUAGCGGUGAAAUGCUUAGAUAUGAUAUAGAACACCAAUUGCGAAGGCAGGUUACUGGGCCAUUACUGACGCUGAGGCACGAAAGCGUGGGGAUCAAACAGG
rnacentral:rRNA from 1 species